rnacentral:rRNA from 1 species
GUGGGGAAUAUUGGACAAUGGGCGCAAGCCUGAUCCAGCCAUGCCGCGUGUGUGAAGAAGGCCUUUUGGUUGUAAAGCACUUUAAGCGAGGAGGAGGCUACUUGGAUUAAUACUCUAGGAUAGUGGACGUUACUCGCAGAAUAAGCACCGGCUAACUCUGUGCCAGCAGCCGCGGUAAUACAGAGGGUGCGAGCGUUAAUCGGAUUUACUGGGCGUAAAGCGUGCGUAGGCGGCUUCUUAAGUCGGAUGUGAAAUCCCUGAGCUUAACUUAGGAAUUGCAUUCGAUACUGGGAAGCUAGAGUAUGGGAGAGGAUGGUAGAAUUCCAGGUGUAGCGGUGAAAUGCGUAGAGAUCUGGAGGAAUACCGAUGGCGAAGGCAGCCAUCUGGCCUAAUACUGACGCUGAGGUACGAAAGCAUGGGGAGCAAACAGGAUUAGAAACCCUAGUAGUCCU